GACGAACGCUGGCGGCGUGCUUAACACAUGCAAGUCGAACGGAAAGGCCCUGCUUUUGUGGGGUGCUCGAGUGGCGAACGGGUGAGUAACACGUGAGUAACCUGCCCUUGACUUUGGGAUAACUUCAGGAAACUGGGGCUAAUACCGGAUAGGAGCUCCUGCUGCAUGGUGGGGGUUGGAAAGUUUCGGCGGUUGGGGAUGGACUCGCGGCUUAUCAGCUUGUUGGUGGGGUAGUGGCUUACCAAGGCUUUGACGGGUAGCCGGCCUGAGAGGGUGACCGGCCACAUUGGGACUGAGGUACGGCGCAGACUCCUACGGGAGGCAGCAGUGGAGAGUAUUGCACAAUGGGCGGGAGCGUGAUGCAGCAGCGCCGCGUGCGGGAUGACGGCCUUCGGGGUGUAAACCGCUUUCGCCUGUGACGGAGCGUGAGUGACGGUAAUGGGUAAAGAAGCACCGGCUAACUACGUG
rnacentral:rRNA from 1 species